CCUACGGGUGGCAGCAGUGGGGAAUAUUGCACAAUGGGGGAAACCCUGAUGCAGCGACGCCGCGUGAGUGAAGAAGUAUUUCGGUAUGUAAAGCUCUAUCAGCAGGGAAGAAAAAAGACGGUCCCUGACUCAGAUGCCCCGGCUAACUACGUGCGAGCAGCCGGGGUAAUACGUAGGGGGCAAGCGUUAUCCGGAUUUACUGGGGGUAAAGGGAGCGUAGGCGGGUGUGCAAGUCUGAAGUGAAAGCCCAGGGCUCAACCCUGGGACUGCUUUGGAAACUGGGGGGCUAGAGUGCUGGAGAGGUAAGUGGAAUUCCUGGUGUAGCGGUGAAAUGCGUAGAUAUUAGGAGGAACACCAGUGGCGAAGGCGGCUUACUGGACAGUAACUGACGUUGAGGCUCGAAAGCGUGGGGAGCAAACAGGAUUAGAUACCCUAGUAGUC
rnacentral:rRNA from 1 species